GCCAGCAGCUAUAUCAGCCUACAACUCACAACUGGCAACCCACUGAAACUAAGCAGGUGUGAGCCUGGUCAGUACCUGGAUGGGAGACCUCCUGGGAAGGCUAAGGUUGCUGAGGUAU
rnacentral:rRNA from 1 species